GACUGAAUCAUCCCUCAACUGCAGCAUCUUUGGCAGCACUGCAGCAAUGCAAUGGGCAGCAGCUCUCACUGCGGUGUCAGGAAGAACUGAGCAUCACGGGAAUGAUUAGCAUCUAAUGUAGCAGCUGGAGCAGGAUCUAGGGAAGCCCGAGUGUUCCAUGCACAGGCCGAUCCCACGACCCCUGAGGAUGUCGGCACCGAUGGGAACGCAUCGCAGCCCUCCCCAGCAGCAGUCCCCACAGGGGCGCUCCCUGUGCACCUCAGAGGAGCCAAUGCUGUAAAUCCCAUCCUGGUGGUCUGUUGUCACACCUUGCCCCUGGGAUGAGGGUCUGUGAGAGGAUGCUGGAGCCCUGAUCCUGACACAGCGGUAACUGCACUGCAGGACAUGCUGAGCCCCGGAAAUUUGGGCUGGAAGGGCUCUUUGGGACUCUGCUCAGAGGCACUUGCAAGAUAACAAACACUAAAAUAAAAUGAAGUGAAAUAUUGGAGAGCCUGCUUUUAUACCUCUUUUAAAACUGAACACAAAAGCCAAGUGAGAUCAUCGGGUUUAUUAGGCAGGAUAUUUCCAGUAAAGAUGGGGAAGCACUUCUGCCACCAUACAAGGAACUGCUCAGCCUCCAUCUGGAAAGUCACAGCCAAUUCCCAUCAGCUGUCUUUGGGAAGGAGGAAUCCAAAGCAGAACUCAGAAGAUGACUGGGACAGUGAGUGACACAGAAGUGACCAUGUGGGAUGUUCGGUGUGGCAGAGCUGAAGAGAGGGCACUGGUUUCUGUAGAUACAGCAGAAGGAAGAACAUUACAUAAAUGACAAUAAAUCUUUGGAUGACAGAGUGACUGUAAACUUCCACUCACGCUGGAAAUGAGGGUUCUGAGUCUUGGAGCAACCAGCUUCUGCAAGACGUUGCAUCAGGAGAGCAGGGCCGGGUUCCAUUGCAUAACCCACACACAAAUGAGCUGGCAUGUGAUGCUGUGAAAGAGGAGUCUGGCUGCAGUGAUCAUCUCCAGUCCCAUGUGCUCCUAGAAUACCGAUGAUUUCUUCCACUAGCCGUGGUAUUCCACAGGCUGCUGUCUAGCUGUGAUCUUCCAGAGAGCCAAAGUAAGCAUUAUUAUUUAGGUUUUAGCUCAGCUACAAUACAUCAUUUAGAAAAAGUCCUGCUGUGCUAAGCUGCAUUCAGUAGCAUGGCAACAUCCAGUGUAUAUAUUUGACUGCACUCUGCUUUGUCUUUUGUUAGCUCCGAUGUCAGCAGGUAAGUGAGCAGAGUGGCCCUGAGACCUGCAAGCAUGGGCACAGUGCUGGAAACUGUCUCAGUUUCACUUCUUUAGCAAACCUGGUGUUGCUGCGUUCCUCACCAGUGCCUAGCAUGCUGCUGUCAGUGCAUCACACCCAGAAUGCACAGACACUGCUUUGCUUUGCUCCUGACUUUCUGCAGUUUCCCUGUGGCAAGCUUCAGCUGCUUGAGCUCCUCUGCUCUGUGCCAUGGCUCCCUGCAGCCCCACACCUCCUUCCCUUUCCAAAAUGUUUUUUGAAGCUUCAGCUGUAGCGAUGUGGGUGCAUGUAACUGGGAGUGCUAACAUCAUGGUCACUACAGGGAGAAGCUGUGGCCCUAUGCCCUACAGUGGAGCUCUCCAAGACAUUGUGCCAGAGACUGCAGCUUACUCAGUGUGCUCCGGAAUGGGAUCUAGGAGCUGCAACAGCGUUUGCUUAAUGGCCAGCAGUGACAGGUUUAUAAAUCAACAUGGCACCUAUUACCUCCAAUGGAAAUGGUAAUCUGUUUUUUCUCCUAGCGGCUUCUGUUGCAAUAAUCAUGUGCUUGCAGCCUCCUCCAGGGUACAGUGCAAUGCAUCUCCCUUGCAGGAGUCACAUCCCUGCUGGGAGCCCCCCCAGCUCAGCAGGGCACUGAGCACCCCCCUGACUGCUGGGAGCCACAGGUGCUCAGCACCUGAGCUCAGCCCUCUGGCAGGAUAUGUGCAGGUUCACUCUGCUUAUCACCAACAGCUGCAGGGCAGCCUGGAAAUGGAGUUGCAGGAAGGGAAGGGAUCCAUAGGGCUGCUUUCUUUCUGCUUUUUUCCCCACUCUGAGGUAUGGAGGGCUGCUGAGCGUGGUGGAGCCCUGCAUUCAGAGCACCCUGUGCAGUUGGCAGCAAGUGGCCGGCACAGCAGCACCCUGGUGUCAGGUGUCUGUCUUAGCCUCUUCCCAGCAAGGUCUCCAUCUAAAUCAACAGAAGCUCUCUGGACUCCGAACCAUGGCAUAUGUGUAUUUUUAGAAGCCAAUCAAUCAGUGGUGACUGUUCAAGUUCAGGCAAGUCAAACACAGCCUGCAAAGUUACACAGAAGCACUGUGUGUUGUAGAAGGGUUGGUGAGCCUGCUUAUUAUUUGGCGUGCUGUGCCAAAUCCAUGAGCUGCUGAGGCUGGGUUCUUUUCAGAGAUAUCCAUAAGAAGUGCAAGUAUAAACAGACCGUGGAUUGUAAAACACGCUCUUUUUAAUUGAAGCAAUAAAGGACUGUUUGUGCUUCCAUAGAAGCCCUCUUUCAAGGUGCUGUGUGUUUUCCAAACUUUAACACAGCCCUGGGUUCAGGGUUUGUCAUGUGGGCCUUUCUGUAGGUGAGGAAACUGAGGCACAGAAGACUGCAGAUGCUGCCAAGGAGCUACAGAGACUGUGAAGUCCCAGCUUGUCUUCAGGGAAGUGCUGUGCUGGGCAAAGAAAACAAACACCUGUGCGCUGGCUUCCCUUCACAGUCUGAUCAGCGGAAACAGCAGCAGAGGGGUCAGGUCAGCCUCAGGGCUCUGGGCAGCAGCAGCAGGUUGGCUUUUCAGUGGCUUGGCUGCAAGGCAGGAACAUCUUGAGGCCUUUCUGGGUGUUUCUUCAAAGAGCGUUGCUGGGGUUUGGAAGUGCUGAGCAUGGAGCAGGUGUACAAAUGCAGCGUGUCGGAACAAAAAAUCACUGUAAUGUAUUGUAUCCCUUCAUGAAAAAUGCAGAGGCUCAGUAGUUGUGGGGAAGCAGGCGCAGCCUGGAGUCGAGCUGGACCUCUAACAUCAGACACCAACCAGUCAGAGAGCAGCUUAGAAAAUGCCGGUGUUCUGAUUUCCAGAGCCUCAGUUUAUCCAACUUGAAAAUGGAACUGAUGCUUUCCUAUGUCACUGACCACUCAGUCAAGAAACGUGGCUUUGGUCUCUUCUGCUUCUCUGCUUCUUCAUGCCCUGCCCUCCAUUGCUACAAGACAUCUGCUCCAGAGCUUCUCGUUGGAGUCUGCACAGCUGCACGAAAUGUAGUGCAUGAUCUGAUUCUCAAAUUGGGCUUAACUCAUAUGUGCAGUGCCAGCUGGAGGGGCCUGCCGAGUUUUUGCUGAUGCAUCAGAAAUAUAUUUUUAGGAAGGUUUCUCUAUAAUUAUCACAUUAUAGCUCCUUCUGGAUCACUCAGAGUAUAGUAAACAAUUGCUAUACUUGUUAGAGGUCAUGAAUACAGAAAAACAUUCCUCUGUGUGAGGUCUGCUGUUAAAUAAUAACUUGUCGUUUCAUGGCGUGGGGGGAGUGAAUGCCCUCGAAGGGACGUGCUGACAUUGUUCAAGCCAGUGAUCCAGUUCCUGUAAUUUACACCACUUUCUUAAAGCUGCUUCUCUGCACAAGAACAAUGGAUGUGCUGAGGGACAGCUGUUGCCCCGCUGCAGCUCCCAGCGCCUCGUGUGUUGAUCCUCUCUCCGGUUUCCCUGCUACGCUGCUGCAGCAACACGUGGAUGGCUCACUGCUGGAGGCCCUGGAGGUGAUGGGCAGCUGGGUGAGGAAGGUGGUUAGCGGACAGCUGUGCAGGGUGCAGCCCCAAGCAGAUGGGGAAGGGGAGUGGCAUUAGAAAGCGAUCACGCAAAGAGAUUAUUAAUGAGUAAUUUCAUGAUCAGCGAGUUGAGUGAACAGCGCUCACCUCUGUGGCAUCUCUGCUGUCUGGUGUAGAGGGAGCAUCCGCUGCUGUCUUUUCCUCAGGGGAUGCUAAUGGUGUCCAUGUCCUCCAUCUGUCAUCAGCAGCGUCUGUCUGGGACCUUCAGGGCUCUGAGAAAUCCUCCUCUCUGUCUCCUUGAAAUAGCCUGACACGAUCAAGAACUACUUGCACGCAUUCGGCUCACACGGUGCUCCAUGUACAGCUUUAUUCCCUUGGGAAAUCCAGGCUUUACAAUAAUCACCUUGCUGUUCAACCAGGUGUAACAUGCAGUUGUGAUUUUCAUAGUAUAGUAGAAAAGCGAGGAUCUGGCUGUGGCUGAAAUCAGUUAACAAAACAGAUAAGUUAGGGAUCCCAGAGCCCCUGGAGACCUAUCUCAAGGCCAAAGAAGAAACUGAGAAGUCUGAUGGAGCUGCAGAAGUGGGGUAGAGCAGUUAUCUCUGGCCAAACAGGUGACGGAUGUGUCCGUUAUGACUUCUCAGUCCCUCCCUGUGGCAUGGGAAUCUGCCCUUUAAUAUGUGGUCAAAAGAAAAUUAGGUCUUGGCAAAAACAUAGCAAAUUUAAGAGCUCAGUCUGGAAGGAGCUCAGCAGGGAGGCGUAGGAGCUGACUGCAGCAUUUCAAAGUCUUUCUAGAAGCUGUGGUUUGGAGAGGAAAAGGAGAUGAAAUCUUCCGUGUUGCAGCAUGCAAGAACUCACCAGCUCUACCUCUCCAAACGUCGCUGUGACAUGGCUCCACCAUAUUCACACUCAUGACUGAGGGGAUGGCAGACUCCAUACUCAGCCCCUUGCUUUUCUUGGUUUGUGUUGCAUGCUCCAUGUUGUUUUAAUGUAGUUCCUAGUAUUUAAUGCAUUUUGAUUGCUUUCUCUAAUAACAUCGACUGAGUGCUAGGAGCCAAUCUAAACAAGCUGUGCCAAUAAGCCAAACAUUUCACUUCAACCAGCAAAGCGGAUGCCUCUUACCCCUACUCACGCCUGGCUGUGCAAACCAAGGACCUCGCUGCUCAUCAGGGAGAGCAAAGCAAAAGCCUGGUGUGUUGUGGGCAGAGCUGGGCUGUGUCCCUGUGUCCUCGUGUCCCUGCCACGCGUGUGCCAUCGAGGUGCAGGUCAGGCAAUGUGCAAAGCUGGCUCUUCUCGAGGGAUGAAUGCGGCAUCUUGUCUCAUGCACUUUGACAAGUUGGGUCUUGGUUUUGUGAGACUGUGAGCACCUCUAAAUCCCUUUGACAUCAGUGGAAGCUGGAGUUCACGUUCUGCAUCACUGGAAGCCUUUCCAAGCAAUUAAAAAACAACCCCAGACCUCCUCCCCUGGUGCUGAUCUGUGGUGUGGUGUUGACGUAAGUGUACUGGAGUUUUACUUACAGCAGCUGGGUAGUUGGCACUUUUAUAGGACUUUUUAAAAAAUUCUUUCUGUCUUUUGCACAAUAUUCCUGAUUUUUUUUUUUACUCUGUUUGUUUUUCUCCCACAAGCCCAGCCUUCAUGUCUGUCGUCUCAGCACUGCUUCCUGUUGUUCUCUGUGAUCUCCCUUGUUCCAUCUUCUCUUCUCUGGUUUCCUCCCUUUCAUUUUAGCCUUAUUUUCCUCAGGCUGCCUGAGCCCAUCCUCCCAGAGGGGAAAUGUAUCUGUCUCAUUCCCGUCUCUGUUUCCCUCCCAGCCCCACAGCUGUUCCCUCUCCAGCAGACCCCACUCCUGCUCAGAGCACCAUCUAUGUCCAACCCCUUUCCUCCAUCACUGCAGGUCAACAACAGAGAAAACAGAAAAUGCACCAGGAGAGGGGGGAUUACAGCCCAGAAGGAUCGUUCCUGCGAGAUGCCAAGUGCUGUCUCACCAGUGCUCACCUGGACUGCUUGCAUCUGGCUGGAUGGUGGAACCCCCAUCCCCAGCACUGACCAUUUGUGAUUUUUCAUGCCACGCAAUCCAUCACUGCUCCUGGGAAAUUUUUGCCUUUCAUGCUGCCCAAGCCUGAAAGCCGUAAACUCUGCAGUGAGGAUGUGGUGAGGUGUGAAUGUACACUUCAUUUCCAAGCGGUUCUAUUCCCCUCAUGUGCUGCACUUGACCAGCAAAGCAGUGGGCACCAUUCUCUGUGCUUUGGCCCAUGUAAUUACGUGUUUUCUAGCUGUGCUCGGUCAAAAGUAAUCAUGGAGUUACAACCUCAGCUGGGACAGAAACCAGUCAAUUUAACAAGCUGAGUUGUGUGCGAUUACAGAAGAUACAUCCUGCCACGGAUUUGUUCUGCCACCCUUUUGCUCUCCUAAGUAGAACACACUGUGGGGACGGAUGGAGCCGGAGAGUGGUUGGAGGUGGCACAGUCUGCCCAUCCUGCUGGGGUGAGAUACGUGUACAGCUUAUGGGUGUGAAGGGACUUUUCCCUCCAGAGAAGUGGGAUGCAUUUAGCUGCAGUCUGCAUAUCUGCCUCAGGCACCUCGUGAGCCCUGCCUUGGGUGUGUUUUUACAGAAUCAGGGAAUUAUCAGAUCUGGAAGGAGAAUGUGCAUGGGCUGAUCUGCAAGCACUGCUGUCCACUUGUACCCAGCUGCAGUCGCAUCCCUCGCUCUGUCCCUUCGCCUCUCCUGUAUUCCCCGACUCAGGCUUUGCCUUGUUCAGCAACAAAGAAAAUGCCUUCAGAAACAUCGUUGCCCUGAUGCAGCAGGAGGCUGUGACAGAUACAGUCACUGCUGCGGAAUGAGCACACAGCAAUGCUGCGCUGUCUGUGCCAUUAUUGUUCUCUGCUGCAAACUGGAAGCGACUGAGAGCAGGGCAAGGCAGCGGCCCUUCUGUAACAGCCCCCCUGGGAUGUGUACACAUCUCCAGUGGUGCAGGAUGUGCACAAUGGGGAUGACUGGCAGCUUCUGCUGUGAGGAUGAUGACAGAAUCCCUCCUCUGGAUUUCACCUCCGUAUCUCAUACCCUCUCAGAGAUUGCUCAGCAGUGAUUGACAUUCAAACUGCCUGCUCUUAAAAAACCGAGUAAGGGAAUGAGAAGGGAAUAUGUAAACUUCCAGGGUAAACUGUGUUGAAAAAUUAAAGGGUGAUACGGUGGUUGGCUCCAGGCUGGUCCUGACUCUCAUGGGAAUAGUUAUGACCUCUCCAAAGGUUCUUCUCAUCAGGGUUUGUUAUGGGGAAGUCACUGUGCAUCCCCUCUGUGAGCAGUGAGAGCUGUGGGACUGCCCGCUCAGUGCUGCACUGACAGCUCUGCAACUGCCAGCAGCAAUAGGUAUGUAUGGAGUGAGGGGAAAAAAUCCAAAGCACAGCAUGAGUUUGCAUUACCUCUUGGUUAUGUGGGUUACUGAAUUCAAGAGCAAGUUUUAGUUACACAGCACAAACAGCCCACUUGUGAAUAUGUCACAGUGAUGCUCUGGCACGCUCAGCAGCCCAUAAAAAUGCCCACUCUGCUUAUACUGUUGAAUUGUUUCAGCCUUUGAUAAACCUUCUGUUUCAGCCUGUUGUAGAUUUUAAAGCAUUUCUUGCUAAUGGGUUUUCACAAUGUGGUUUAAGGGCUGUUGUUAUUAAUAAAUGUAACUGCACUGAAUAGUAAUUUGAUAAAGAUGAAAGAGGCAUUGAUGAAUUCCACUUCCCUUUCAGCUGCUGCUAGGAAUUUUUUCCUCCUUCAGAAUAUGUUGCAUUUAAUCUUGAUUUCCUUUUUGUUAAAACUGCUACUUUCUCACGUUAUAAAGAGAAUAUCAGUGGAGUCGGACCAGUUGUGCCAUCUUCUGUGUGGUAAAGAUCCAGUUCUGCUCAGUGAAUGGCAGAAAUUUCCUUGCUGAACAGCAGGGCUGGCUGGGUGUCCCAUCAGAAAUGCCUACAAAUAGCGUGUAAGUUUAAAGUUGUUUUCUUAAAAUAUGAUUAAUGGGUCUUAACGUUGAUGGAAGCAUUAAAAGAAAAUAAUUUAUCCACACUUUUUGCUAAUGGACUGAUCUCCAUUACGUUAUCGUUACAAUGACCUCCUUGUGUAUAAAUUAAUUAGGGACUUAGUUUCAGUACCAAGCAGUGUGCGAUUGGCUCCAGUUGAACAGGAAGCAUGGGGUGUCUGAAGGCUGCUAUCUACCACAACAAGGGCUCUGCUCACACUCGUGGCACACAAUAAUGGGAAGUACUGUGAGUUAUGUUGGGCCUGCAUCAUAAAAGGAUUGCAGGGACAAUGGUGAGGAGAAAUGUUAGCAGAAAGAAAACGGAAAGCUUUCUUUCCUAAGAGGUGAGCUUUGCUUUACUAGAAUCCGAUCCACGCAGAGAUGGAUGUCUUCAGAGAGGAGGCAGGUAUUAAUCAUGGGAAAUAAUCUGUUUUCACAACUCGCAGAGCACGAGUUCUCUUGACAAAAAAAGAUCUUCUAUUUUUGGGUUGUGCUUUCAAUUGAAGAUGCAUGAGGUCCACAUGCAGAAAGGACCAAAAGGCAGUGUGAAGCUGGAAAGUGCUAAGAGACGGGGCCCUGCUCCUGCCCCCCCCGGGUUGCCUGCUGUGUGACACUGCACAGCCGCUUCUCUUCUCUGUGCCUCUUUGCUUCCUCCCACUUUCUGUGCAUUGUCUUUGUUAGCUCUUUUCAAGGGCUGAAGCUUUCUUGUACCUUGAGUUAGCACUGCAUUUAGCUUCUCCGGAUGCUAUGGUAAUACCAUCAGAACUAACAGUCUGCCACCCAGCUCAUUCUCUCAACUCAUUCUUUUGCGAAGCUGCACAUCCUUGUGAAUAAGCAGCUCAGGGAUUUAUACAGAAAGCAGCAAUGUGGAUCUGCCUCAGACCUUAAGUAUAACUCAGGAGUAAAUUCAAUGAAAUUCAGCAGGAAUACAAUAGGUAUUUGUUACAGGGGAACCGAGACAUUCAAUACAAAAUACCAGAAUGCUACUUGCAGUAAAGUUUAUAAUACAAGACAAGAAAAUGGUGUGAUGUCUUGCUCCUUGCACAUUGCACUCAACUUCUCCCUUGGGGUGACUGUGCUACGUUAUAAUCAGUCAGUUUUCCUGGACUAAUUUCCUUGCAUAGUAGGCUAUAAAUAAUUAUUAUUGGUAUUGCAUGGAGUCUGUAAGUUCCUGAACAACCGUGACCGAAUUCUUAAUUUGCCAAUUACUGAUACAAUGCAUGUGUUUUUGUGAUUACUUUAAUUAUGUAUGAAACGUAUGUAAUUGAAAGAAUACAAAGUCAUCUUUUUUCUUUCUUUCUUUCUAGAUUCACAGACUGAUUGGAGGACAGCCCACCUCUGACCAUCUCUGUGUUUAUAAAUCCUGUUUGGACUAACGUGAUAUUCAGGGGUAAGCACUUGUUUAUACAGUUUAGCAGUGUUAGCCCCUAUGUAGUCUCUGAAGACAAUACCAGUAGGUUGUCAGUAUCCCAUGGGCCACAUUGUGUGUUGUAGGAAGAUUCUCAGCAAUGAAAAUGCAGUUUUAUCCUUCUCAAAGUGCCCCUUACCAAAGUCAGCCAAGCAUCCAGAAGCACGUACUCUGAGUGAUGGAUGCAGCAUUAAUAUUCUACUGACUUGCUAAGCAUACAAGAUAGGCCAAGUCUUUCCAGAGGUUUCAAUUUCCAUCAUGUCCCUCAUUUCUUUUGGCUGAACCAUGCCAUAGUGUACAUCCAGGGCUUGACAGCUCUAAUUUCAUAGAAGCCAAUGGACUUGAAAGAUAAUCUAUUGAUGUGUGAGAGAGAGGAAUCAGGCCUGUGGCCAGAGUCCCAUUGACUUCAGUGAAAGCAGACAGUGAUGCAGUUGCUGUCACAUAGGUCUUGAGAGCAGACUGCUUUAAUAACUUUGUCCUCAGGUGCCCAACUCAGUCAUGGUGCUAAACGAAUGGAGCACACCUACCCGACCCGGGCUGCUGGAUGCUGCUGGGUGGUCCAAGACAUAGAUAUUGCCAGUGAGCACAAUUGCUCUUGCAGAGCCAGUACAAAGAGCUCAUGAUGCAGUCCAGCUUUCCUUCUCUCCUUCUUUCAACAGGAACGCAGGUCUUGACCACACACACUGUCAGUACAGGACCUUGGACUUGAACUUUGUGCCUCGGACUUCAGCUUUGUGAGCCCUCAGACAGCCCUUCUGCAGCUGCAUCAGGCCACACACAGUCACAGCUCUCAGCUGGGAGACGACAGGCACAAAGCUGGCACUGGCUCUGUGAUUACUUCUCUGCAAAGUCAAACAGGUGAGCAUACGCUGCUGGUGGCCUAAGUGCUUUUGUUUGCCUUAACACUGGCCUUGAGCAGCAGUUAAGUGCAGCUGGCACUGGCCUCAGGAGGCAUCAAUCACCUGCUGCUCCUCAUAAGCUUUUCUAUACUGCAUAAGAAGCCAUGUUCUUGCUCUAGUAGUCCCAGAGAGCUGUGGAGACAGCACAGAAGCAGCAUGAAACUGUCUUUCUGAUUUUAUAUCAUUGGUAAGCUGUGUUGCAAAGGCUGGCAUUGCUCAAGAGUCACACACAGCACAAACUCGGUAUGACGUUGCAGAACAUUGGUGUCCUGCUCUCCUGGGCUCCUUUUAUAAUACCAACUAGAGAGAUUUUCCAGGACAAAUGGAAAUUUGGUCCUUGAAUUUGUGAUUAUGUAUACAAACAGGCCUCAGGCAUGCGGAAUUUGGCCUAUUUGACCAAUGCUCUGAGGAUGCUCUGCUGCUUUUUCUCUAGAAAGCAAAGGCAGUUUUGUGCCCAACAGAAGACAGUUAUUCUUGAGUUUUUUUGUUGGUCUCCUCUGCUCCCUUCCUCUGCAAAGGGGUGUGAAGGGGUGGUGCAGCAUGUGGGUUUUAACUGGACACCAUCCCUUUAAUGUGGAGUUGUGUUUUUUUUUUUUUUUUUUUUUUUGCAGGGCCAAAAAUAAAUGCUAGUGAAGGAAUAAACAGACGUGAAAAGAAGGCUUGGACACUUAGAGGACAAGACUGCUUUGUGUUUCCCAAAGCAAUAAGCCUCUUCACAAGGAGGUUACUCUUUCAGAAAAACACGGGUCCUGUGACACUGCCAAGGUCAGUAGGUGCCCAGCAGAGCAGGGAGCAUUCAAGGCAGACAUGGUUUGGGAAAGGGGCAUAUUUGCUCCCAUUGAAAGAGAGGAGAGAGGAGAGAAAUUUACAUUGCUCUGCCAUUUCAGCUCUUUCUACAGGGUUUGAACACGCACCAGUUUGGCAGCAGAAGGCAGCUUCCACCUAUCUCAGAUGGCAACGUAGCCCCAGCACUGUGGCUGUAUCACUCGCAUGCUGGCUUGGGAAGAGGGCAGUGCUGCUGCAGUUCUGCAGCUGAGGAGGCAGGUAAAGAGAGGACGUGCAUCACAUGCAGAGUCCCGGCAGUAAGGCCUGGAUUUUUCAAGGUGCUUUGCAUUUUUCAGAAGUCCCUUGUGGACGUGGCUCUCUUCUUGUGCUGGUGCUGUACGAGCACUCUAAGCUAGGCCUCUGCUACCUGUCGGCGUGUCUCGGACCGGUCAGCUGCAGUCUGGAUGGGCUUUGCUUUCUGCAGGAAAUAGGCAGAAUUCAAAGCAAAUAGCUUGGUACAGACACCUUGCUUUCUGGUAAGCAAAAUUGGUUAGCAAAGUGCUGCAGUGAUCUCAGUGGGGGUAGGAAGCUUUGGACUUCACUUUAGGGACUUAACUCAUUCUCCAUCCAGUGCAGUAUCUUUUGAAAUGUGACUUUUUAGGCUCUUUAUUGUCUCAGUUGGCUACAGAAUGAAAAUGCUGGGUAAUAUUGAGCAAUGAUAAGAUGAUACAGAGUCUGUCUCCUGCACAAAGGGAAGUGCAGUUCUUUCGCUGUCUCUAAAGCACCAAGUUGUGAGUCAGCCAAAGCAUCUGAGGACUCUGGGUAAGAAACAUGAGCUUUUAAAGGCACCUCAUUAGGACUGAAUCUUCAGCACCGUCUGUAGUGACACACCAAAACAUACUCAUCUCAAAGAGAGCAAAUGUUGAGAAGUUAAGGGAGCUAAUUAGUGGAAUCAGCUGCACUGCAGAUCUGAGGAAUUGAAUGUGAUGGAACUUGGAUUCCAAAACCAGCUGAAACAUGCAGGAAGAUGAACCCUGACAGGAAAUGCUCCAACCCCAGUGGGAUAAAUAACCAGCCCCAAACACGUGGAGAGCAUUAACUGACAUGCAGAAGUUCUGAUUGGCAUGAGGGUAUUCUGCUGGCAUGCAGCUAGGGAUUGAAAUCAGAUGUCUGGAGAGGAACUGCUACAGAAUACGAUGCUCUGCUCUGCUCUGCUCUUUGAUGGAGGCCAUCACUCUUAUCACAGGGCUGACAAAGCAGCUUACCCUGCAGGUCCUGAACAGCCACCACUCCAGUGACGUGUUCAGUGCAGCAGUUCUGGACCUGCCUUAUGAGUUACUGCCACUGCCACAAGGAUGGCAUUGGAGAAGAGUGGUGGAGCAGAAGACUGAAGGCAGUAUUUGCCUCAGUCAUCCAAUUUGAAGCUGCUGGGAUGGGAAAGGCAGAGACAGGAUGAAAAAUGUCAAAAGUGAACUUGUGAAUUGGACUUGAAAAGGAAAUUAGAACAGAUGGCAGAGGGUUUCAGUUAGAGAAAUAAAAAGAGGAGAAACGUGGUCAUUAUGGAGUGAGAAUGGGGUUGAGAUUAAGACCCAUCCACAUAUGGUCUAAAAAUGAAUUAAAAACACUUUGUCCACAUUUUCAGUAGAGAUGAUCGUAUUGAGCAGCGUGACAAAGACAAGAUUUCUAGUGGGAAUAUACAUAAGGGAAUGAAAAUUAUCACAUGUAAGGUGGAAGGAAAAGCAUGAAGAAUUCGGUGUGCUCAGGUGAAGGUGCACUGGCAGAUUUCCAUCCCAGGAUUUGGCACAUUAAAUGAGUUCAGCUUAACCUGAUAUUUCUCUUUGAUGACUGAUUAUUUUUUUAGGCAAAUGAAAUACAGGUGAUUUACUCUAUCCAGA
ensembl:lncRNA